AGUCCCAUAGCUUAAUCUGGUUUAAAGCGCCCUUUCUGGGGAAGUUGCAGGUUCAAGCCCUGCUGGGCUUA
rnacentral:tRNA from 1 species